rnacentral:rRNA from 1 species
AUACGGAGGGGGCUAGCGUUGUUCGGAAUUACUGGGCGUAAAGAGCGCGUAGGCGGUUGAUAAAGUUGGGUGUGAAAGCCCGGGGCUUAACCCCGGAACUGCAUUCAAAACUGAUUGACUAGAGUCUGGUAGAGGGUGGUGGAAUUCCUAGUGUAGCGGUGAAGUGCGUAGAUAUUAGGAGGAACACCAGCGGCGAAGGCGACCACCUGGGACAGUACUGACGCUAAGGCGCGAAAGCGUGGGGAGCAAACGGGAUUAGAAACCCCAGUAGUCC